GGGUUGUGAGGUUAAGCGACUAAGCGUACACGGUGGAUGCCCUGGCAGUCAGAGGCGAUGAAGGACGUGCUAAUCUGCGAUAAGCGUCGGUAAGGUGAUAUGAACCGUUAUAACCGGCGAUUUCCGAAUGGGGAAACCCAGUGUGUUUCGACACACUAUCAUUAACUGAAUCCAUAGGUUAAUGAGGCGAACCGGGGGAACUGAAACAUCUAAGUACCCCGAGGAAAAGAAAUCAACCGAGAUUCCCCCAGUAGCGGCGAGCGAACGGGGAGCAGCCCAGAGCCUGAAUCAGUGUGUGUGUUAGUGGAAGCGUCUGGAAAGGCGCGCGAUACAGGGUGACAGCCCCGUACACAAAAAUGCACAUGCUGUGAGCUCGAUGAGUAGGGCGGGACACGUGGUAUCCUGUCUGAAUAUGGGGGGACCAUCCUCCAAGGCUAAAUACUCCUGACUGACCGAUAGUGAACCAGUACCGUGAGGGAAAGGCGAAAAGAACCCCGGCGAGGGGAGUGAAAAAGAACCUGAAACCGUGUACGUACAAGCAGUGGGAGCACGCUUAGGCGUGUGACUGCGUACCUUUUGUAUAAUGGGUCAGCGACUUAUAUUCUGUAGCAAGGUUAACCGAAUAGGGGAGCCGAAGGGAAACCGAGUCUUAACUGGGCGUUAAGUUGCAGGGUAUAGACCCGAAACCCGGUGAUCUAGCCAUGGGCAGGUUGAAGGUUGGGUAACACUAACUGGAGGACCGAACCGACUAAUGUUGAAAAAUUAGCGGAUGACUUGUGGCUGGGGGUGAAAGGCCAAUCAAACCGGGAGAUAGCUGGUUCUCCCCGAAAGCUAUUUAGGUAGCGCCUCGUGAAUUCAUCUCCGGGGGUAGAGCACUGUUUCGGCAAGGGGGUCAUCCCGACUUACCAACCCGAUGCAAACUGCGAAUACCGGAGAAUGUUAUCACGGGAGACACACGGCGGGUGCUAACGUCCGUCGUGAAGAGGGAAACAACCCAGACCGCCAGCUAAGGUCCCAAAGUCAUGGUUAAGUGGGAAACGAUGUGGGAAGGCCCAGACAGCCAGGAUGUUGGCUUAGAAGCAGCCAUCAUUUAAAGAAAGCGUAAUAGCUCACUGGUCGAGUCGGCCUGCGCGGAAGAUGUAACGGGGCUAAACCAUGCACCGAAGCUGCGGCAGCGACGCUUAUGCGUUGUUGGGUAGGGGAGCGUUCUGUAAGCCUGUGAAGGUGUGCUGUGAGGCAUGCUGGAGGUAUCAGAAGUGCGAAUGCUGACAUAAGUAACGAUAAAGCGGGUGAAAAGCCCGCUCGCCGGAAGACCAAGGGUUCCUGUCCAACGUUAAUCGGGGCAGGGUGAGUCGACCCCUAAGGCGAGGCCGAAAGGCGUAGUCGAUGGGAAACAGGUUAAUAUUCCUGUACUUGGUGUUACUGCGAAGGGGGGACGGAGAAGGCUAUGUUGGCCGGGCGACGGUUGUCCCGGUUUAAGCGUGUAGGCUGGUUUUCCAGGCAAAUCCGGAAAAUCAAGGCUGAGGCGUGAUGACGAGGCACUACGGUGCUGAAGCAACAAAUGCCCUGCUUCCAGGAAAAGCCUCUAAGCAUCAGGUAACAUCAAAUCGUACCCCAAACCGACACAGGUGGUCAGGUAGAGAAUACCAAGGCGCUUGAGAGAACUCGGGUGAAGGAACUAGGCAAAAUGGUGCCGUAACUUCGGGAGAAGGCACGCUGAUAUGUAGGUGAAGCGACUUGCUCGUGGAGCUGAAAUCAGUCGAAGAUACCAGCUGGCUGCAACUGUUUAUUAAAAACACAGCACUGUGCAAACACGAAAGUGGACGUAUACGGUGUGACGCCUGCCCGGUGCCGGAAGGUUAAUUGAUGGGGUUAGCGCAAGCGAAGCUCUUGAUCGAAGCCCCGGUAAACGGCGGCCGUAACUAUAACGGUCCUAAGGUAGCGAAAUUCCUUGUCGGGUAAGUUCCGACCUGCACGAAUGGCGUAAUGAUGGCCAGGCUGUCUCCACCCGAGACUCAGUGAAAUUGAACUCGCUGUGAAGAUGCAGUGUACCCGCGGCAAGACGGAAAGACCCCGUGAACCUUUACUAUAGCUUGACACUGAACAUUGAGCCUUGAUGUGUAGGAUAGGUGGGAGGCUUUGAAGUGUGGACGCCAGUCUGCAUGGAGCCGACCUUGAAAUACCACCCUUUAAUGUUUGAUGUUCUAACGUUGACCCGUAAUCCGGGUUGCGGACAGUGUCUGGUGGGUAGUUUGACUGGGGCGGUCUCCUCCUAAAGAGUAACGGAGGAGCACGAAGGUUGGCUAAUCCUGGUCGGACAUCAGGAGGUUAGUGCAAUGGCAUAAGCCAGCUUGACUGCGAGCGUGACGGCGCGAGCAGGUGCGAAAGCAGGUCAUAGUGAUCCGGUGGUUCUGAAUGGAAGGGCCAUCGCUCAACGGAUAAAAGGUACUCCGGGGAUAACAGGCUGAUACCGCCCAAGAGUUCAUAUCGACGGCGGUGUUUGGCACCUCGAUGUCGGCUCAUCACAUCCUGGGGCUGAAGUAGGUCCCAAGGGUAUGGCUGUUCGCCAUUUAAAGUGGUACGCGAGCUGGGUUUAGAACGUCGUGAGACAGUUCGGUCCCUAUCUGCCGUGGGCGCUGGAGAACUGAGGGGGGCUGCUCCUAGUACGAGAGGACCGGAGUGGACGCAUCACUGGUGUUCGGGUUGUCAUGCCAAUGGCACUGCCCGGUAGCUAAAUGCGGAAGAGAUAAGUGCUGAAAGCAUCUAAGCACGAAACUUG
rnacentral:rRNA from 1 species